GAUGAACGCUGGCGGCGUGCCUAAUACAUGCAAGUCGAGCGCACCCAUGGGGAGCUUGCUCCUAUGACGUUAGCGGCGGACGGGUGAGUAACACGUGGAUAACAUACCUAUAAGAAUGGGAUAACUUUGGCAAACAGGCGCUAAUACCGGAUAAUAUAUUGAAACGCAUGGUUCACUCGUGAAAGAAGGUUUUGCUGUCACUAAUAGAUGACUCCGCGCCGCAUUAGCUAGUGGGUAGGGUAGCGGGUUAGCAAGGCAACGAGGCGUAUCCGACCUCAGCGGGUGAAUGGCUAGACGGUAACAGAGAAACGUCCGAGACUCUGAGAGUGAGCAGCAGCACAGAAUCCUCCGCAAGGGAGGAGAGCCUAACCGUGCAACACCGCGUGAAUGAUGAAGGACCCCGGACGGGAAAGCGCUGUAAUUAUUAAAGAUCAAAAGCGUAAUCAGCUAUGCACAUCUUGACGGUACCAGCACAAAAAGCCACGGCUAACUACGUG
rnacentral:rRNA from 1 species